UGAGUGCCUAUGAUGGCUUUAAAUAUAUAAUGAGGAACUAGUACUAUGAACAGAAUUUAAUCUGAGGCACUUA